rnacentral:rRNA from 1 species
AUUGAACGCUGGCGGCAGGCCUAACACAUGCAAGUCGAGCGGCUGAGGGGUAAUGGCUCGGGAUUACGGGGGGGGAGGGGGGGUAAGUGCAUGGAAACUUCCGGGUCUACGGGGUCUACGGUCGGAAACGGGGGCUAAUUACGCCAAUGCCCCGUAGGAGCAACGGGUGGAAUCUUGGGACCUUCGGUCCUUGCUCGGUCGAGGUCGGAUUAGCUAGUUGGUGGGGUAAAGGCCUACCAAGGCGACGAUCCGUAACUGGUCUGAGAGGAUGAUCAGUCACACUGGAACUGAGACACGGUCCAGACUCCUACGGGAGGCAGCAGUGGGGAAUAUUGGACAAAGGGCGAAAGCCUGAUCCAGCCAUGCCGCGUGUGUGAAGAAGGUCUUCGGAUUGUAAAGCACUUUAAGUUGGGAAGAAGGGCAGUAAGUUAAUACCUUGCUGUUUUGACGUUACCAACAGAAUAAGCACCGGCUAACUUCGUG